rnacentral:rRNA from 1 species
AGGACGAACGCUGGCGGCGUGCUUAAUACAUGCAAGUCUAAGGGUUUAUCUUCCUUCGGGAAGAUAGACACUGGCGCACGGGUGAGUAACACGUAAGUCAUCUGCCCUUGGGUCUGGCACAACUCCGGGGAAACCGGGGCUAAUUCCAGAUGAUACCGAAAGGUCAAAGUUUCGACGCCCAAGGAUGAGCUUGCGUCUGAUUAGCUAGUUGGCGGGGUAACGCCCACCAAGGCGACGAUCAGUAGCCGGUCUGAGAGGAUGAUCGGCCACAUUGGGACUGAGACACGGCCCAGACUCC